AUAUCUUGAUCAUUGGGGAUUCUCUCUUUAAAUCAUGUUAAACUCAAAUAGACAACAAAACUUGUGGCACCGAUUAAACAUUAGUAGUUGGCCACUUAAGCCUUAGUUGUCCAAGCUUUUUAGAUUUUUCUUAAUUCUUUUUCUAAGCAAAGUUUCAACAAGAUCUCUUUCUUAAUAUAUAUAUAUAUAUAUAUAUUUGGGUUUUAAUCUUUUUAUGAAGCAAAAGGAAAUGGAACAGGAUGAAUGCAUGUCUAUUUACUUUUAUUUAUUAUUUUUUUAUUCCACCACGGUGAAUAUCCGUGUGGGCUUUUACACACCACACAAUUUAUUCACAUGGGGUUUUAGUAUUUA
rnacentral:lncRNA from 1 species